rnacentral:rRNA from 1 species
AUGGGCAGCACAUUCUCGCUCGACCACAAAUUCCCGAGGGACUACGGCCUUGAGGAAGAGGAUGAAGUGGACAUCGAUGGGGAGCCUUUGUUCGAGGACGAGCUCGCCAACCAAGUCGGCGCAAACAAUAAGCGCAAAAUCAAGCGGACGAAGGCAUACACACUACCGGAGGACAAACUCCUUUGUGAGUGUUGGAGGGAAAUUGGACAAGACCCUAAGGUCGGCGCCGAGCAAAAGGCAUCUACCUUUUGGCUUCGUGUUCAUCGUGAGUACUAUGAACACAAGAAGUUCGUGCCGUACCAAAUGGAGAGGAAGCACGGGUGGGUGACUCUCUCAAAGCGAUAG